rnacentral:lncRNA from 10 species
CAACCGACCCCGCCCCUACCCCACCCACUCCUCACCCAGCAUCCAUAAAAGCAUGCUGCACCUUUGGCACAGCGCGACUUCCCUGGCCCUCCCCCUGCGGACCAGUGAACCUCGCCCGAGGGCUCAAUAAAGAAGAUUUUUGCCCUCUUUUUCUCACCUCUCAGCCUUAUUGAUCCAUGGUGCCCUUCCAUUGCCUUUCAUUGGUGCCGAAACCCGGGAGGGGACACCUCCUAAGCCCCCCCAGAGGCUCAGGGGGACUCCCCUCCUGGUCGGAUCAGUCCUCUCCCUCAGUCAGGUCAGGCUUCUCCUCCACGGCCAUCUGUCCAUUUCGUCCGGUUACUUGCUGCCAGGUCGCAGUUGCUGCAGCUACUCCAGUCCAAUUCGGCCGACGCUAGUUGCCUGGCUGCAAUAUACCUUGGACAACCAAUCUCGCUGGCCCCCCAAAGGCACACUCGACUUCAAUAUCCUAAACGACCUUACCAAUUUUUGUCAGAGGCGAGGCAAAUAGUCAAAAAUCAAAUUUGUUCAAAGGUUCUGGGACCUCCGCUCUCGUCGGACCGCUGCCGCCAAGUGUUUUCGCUGGCACAAGUCCCUGUGGCUAGCCUUCCCCUUGAAGUCUGGCCAGCCUCUCUUGCCGUUAAUCCUGUCCGGGGCCCCCAUCUUAGUCUCUCUGCCGCCAUCUCCUUCUGCACUGCCGCCAUCUUACUACCUGCUUCCUCACUGCCGCCAUCUUACUUCCUUUUUUCUCUGCUGCCAUUUUAGUUCUUCUGCCACCAUUCGGCUGCCAUUUUAAUUCCCAUUAGUUCCCAUUUGUUCUUUUAACCCUGCCCAGCUAACUCCUUGGCUUCCAUCUUACCCGCAUUCUUAUUUCCACCUGCCUAUAGUGCCAUACCAGUCCACUGCAUCUACAACUCCUAACACAUUCGCUGCGGGCAGUGAUAUCCACUAAUCCUGGAUGAGGCAGCGGAGGGCCCCCAAACCCCUAUCCAGGACUUAGUAAAGCUGGCGUUCAAAGUUUUUAAUUCCUGAGAGGAGGCGGCUGAGGUACAACGACAGGCAAGCCUGAAACAAAAAGUUCAGCUCCAAACCCAAGCCCUGGCAGCUGCCCUGCAACCGGCAUUCCCUAAGAGCCGCGGCAGGAGAGGUAGAGGUACAAUCUCCCGGGCCCCGUCUGGCGUCUGCUUCAAGUGAGGCAACUCAGGACACUGGGCCAGCCGGUGCCCUAGCCAACAGCAACCGUCCUGCCCGCCUUGCAACUGUUUCAAGUGUGGCAAUCCAGGUCAUUGGGCAAAACAGUGCCCAAACCCCAAGCCGCCAACACACCCGUGCCCUAACUGCCAACAAAUGGAGCACUGGAGGUCAGACUGCCCCAGCCUCGGAGCGGCCGCUGUGGCUCCACAUGGCGACCCCUCCCUGGAUGGCGAAGGUGCCCUCUAGCUCCUCCAACUGGAUGACGACUGAAGAGGCCCAGGCUCGGGAACCCCUCUCACCCUUGCCGAGCCCAGGGUAAUGCUUCAGGUAGCGGGUAAGUCCAUUUCCUUUUUGCUAGACACAAGGGCUACCUACUCUGUUUUGCCAUCUUUUAGCAGGCCCAGCCGCCCCUCCUCAAUCUCUGUUAUAAGGAUUGAUGGCACUCCCUCCACCUACCGCCAGACGCCUUCACUGCCCUGCCGCCUAGACCACUAUAUAACUUUCUUGAACCCAUAAUCUACCAUCCUUCCUUCUAUUCCUUACUAAAGCAAAUACAUCGAGUUAUCUUCUUACUUUAGUAAACACUUUCUCAGGUUAGAUUAAAGCCUGCCCUACCACCCAUAAAACAGCAGAGGUAGUAGCUUCAACCCUCAUUGAACAGAUAAUCCCGAGAUUUGGCCUGCUUUUAUCUCCAAAAUAGUCAAACAGGUGACAACCACACUUGGCGUUAACUGGAAGCUACACACUCCAUACCAUCCGCAGUCUUCUGGAAAAGUGGAAUGCGCCAACGGCCUUGUCAAACAACACCUAAUCAAAUUGGCUCUCGAGAAGCGCCAAUCGUGGAUCAACUGAGAUGCAAAACCCAUGUUCACAUCAUGAGUGAGUCUUCUAACUCGGACAAUGCAAUCAACAAAUUCUAAGACCAAAUUCCGGUGGCACUGGCUCCAAAGCUCCUGAGUGUGGAAGGAGGUGAACAGGGAAAAGCAGAGAGGACAAAAGUCACAUCCCCUCCCCACAGACCCAUACUGGGGAAGGGUGGAAGAUUUAGCUGCGAGUCAAGUUCAGAAUUUUGAUUAACAUCUUGGCAUGCACAUUCGAAUUUCAGAAUCAAGACUGUUGGCCAUAAAAAAUGACUAUAGCCUUGUGUAUUACCUGAACUGAGCAGUAAAAAAAAAGUCAUGGUCCUUCUGGGGCUUUUAUUCUGAGACAGGAACCCUGAACAGGCAGGAGAAAGGGAAUGUUGACAGAGAAACAAAGACAGUUGGCGACACACGCUGACCGCCAUGCGGACGUCCAUCAAACCCAGCACUGGCCCUGGGUACGUGCGCCUUUGCUAUUACCCCAAUACAUUUUCUUCUGCAGAGCAAGCAACAGAACACAUGCAGACCUUAAUAAAUACCACUGGGUAAUGUGACAAUGGCCAAACUCUCCUCACGGGGGAGAGAGUGUCCCCCAGUUUUGCUCCCUUUUAAUUUCCAGGGUUCAUAAGUAGCUCUAAAGCUUUGCUCUACAAGGUUGAUACAUACGAUAUUAAUGUUUCCCCUAAGCAGUAUAACAUAAAUAUAUUUGCUAUCUUGACAUUCUGGGUUUGGUUUUUCAGUGUUGGCGUAAGUGGGUUUUAUACUUUCUGGAACAAGAGUUCAUCACCAAAGGGAAAAUGCUGUCCACCCCACCCUCUUUGAAAGAAAAGGCUCAGCCCAUAGUUCUCCAGAUGAAAGAAAUGUACCUAAUCAGCUAUUUCCUGUUGCUUGAUUGGAUGUUAACAAUGGAGAUAGACACACAGCUAAUUGUGGUGGCACAGCAGGAAGCCUAAUUCACUUUGCUGUAGAAAUGCCCACACAGAGAAAGUGGGAGAUGGCUGCACAAGAGGCCCCAUAGGCAGGCAAAUGCUUACUGCAGUUUCUUUCCCAAACAUUUCCAAAUAGACCAAAUAAACAUGAAUUUGCUCACUGUAGUUUAUAUUCCAAAUAAAAAUGAAUUUCUGGCCAGGCGCGGUGGCUCAUGCCUGUAAUCCAGCACUUUCGGAGGCCAAGGCAGGUGGAUCACAAAGUCAGGAGUUUGAGACCAGCCUGGCCAAUAUGGUGAAACCCCAUCUCUACUUAAAAUACAAAAAUUAGCCUGGCGUGGUGGCAGGUGCCUGUAAUCCCAGCUACUCAAGAGGCUGAGGCUGGAAAAUCACUUGAACCUGGGAAGCAGAGGUUGCAGUGAGCUGAGAGGGUGCCAUUGCACUCUAGCCUGGGUGACAGAGCAAGACUUGGUCUCAAAAAAAAAAAAAAGAAUUUCGCCACGCUCCGCAGACACAGGCAUUCCACACCCUUGUCCAGACUGGUCCCAGGGGAAAGAAUCUCCAGGCUAAAGAGCCGUGGUCUUCCAGGGCCUCUGGCCAGGUAUCUCAAUGUCUUCACCCAUGUGAAUUCUGGACAAGGGCUUCCUACCACAUCCCCAAGUUUGCCCUUCCCCCCAUACCCUGACCUCCAUUUCUCUACUUUACCUCUCCCAGCCCACCAUGGGACCAUGUGAUCAGCCACAUAGGCAUAAACUAGCACACAGCUACCUUAGGGUAGGGCCCUCUAGGGUGGCCAGGUGGCUACCUCACAAAUCAGUCUAUGGCUCUCACAGAAACUAGAAUUUGCUUGGGCAAGAGGUAUCAAGAGCAUUAGAAAUAUUUAUACUUUUUCAUUCAGUAAUGGUAUAAUCUGAAUCUGGGCUGAGAGUCUAAGAAUAUUGAGCUGUGUGAGAAUGCACACAGCUGUUUAUUACAUUUUUUUAAGUAAUGGAAAAAUUGGCUAGAAUUUAAAUAUACACCAGUAGGGUAGAUGUUUAAUAAACUAUGAUUUAUCCAACUUACAGACUACUGGACAGCCAUAAAAUGAUAGUUAGACUAAUUUUUGCCAUGCUUUAUCUUUUAAUAUUCUUACGUAAUUCCAUCUCAUUAUUUCAUCUGGCUUUUAUUAAACAGUAAAUAUAAUACUAACUGUAAUUACAAUACUAACUGUAAUUACCAGUGGUUACUUUAACUACCUUUCUGUGUUUUCCUAAUUUUUAUGAUCACCAUGAAUUUCUGUACUGGGGAAAUAAGCAAACUCUUUAUAAGGUGUUGGGACACGUAAAGGACAUUUUCACAGCACUCUGCAAUGUCCUGGCUCCUUGACUGAAAAAAGAAUGAGUUUGCUCAGGCCUCAGCCUCCUGGAGUCCCAGACUGGAGCCAUUGUGGUUAAUAUCUGUAAGUUUGGUUUUUGUUUUUCUCAGGUGCUCCACUGAAGCUCAUCCACACACACACACAAUACACACUGAUGCUUAUAACACACCUGGCCCUGUGUUAAUAAGUAGCCUGGUAUAAACUUGGGAAGCAGAAAGAAGGAAAAAGACUGCAGCAGCAGGCACAAUGUGGCUGAAACCCCUUCCAGGAGAAGAGAGCGAGCGAGAGGGAGGAUUGAGGACAGAUGCAGAGGGCAGAAAGAACUCUUUACGUCUGGCCAAGUAUGGGGCAGCUACACUGAGUCCUUUCUGCCAGAUGAAGGCAGGGAAUAGUCCCAGUCAAAGCAUUGCUGUGAAGUUUCCCUGGUGACUUCAGAGUUUCUGUGUCUACCACCCCCAGCCUGGUUAACACAGCGCUCUGUAAUAAAGUCUAAAAUUCUAAAUGAUAGCAAAGAGCAGCUUGCAUUAUCUUUUCUCCCUGGAGGAUAAAUAGGACCCCUUGCAUCUAGUUGUUUGUAGGUAAGAAGCUGGCAAGAGUCAAGACAGGUAGGACCCUAUAAAGGUUAGGAAGAAAACCACUGCUUCCUCACACACAGCAUGUCCCCAAGCCAGCCAGCCCUGCCUCCCUUCUAGAACCUGCCCCCGAGCUUCCCUGGAGAAGCCCUUCGCCAAGUCUUCCCAUCAGUGAGUUUCAAUCAUCACUGAGGUCUUGGUUCAAAAGUCACACCCUCAGGAAGUCCUUUCUGAGCUCUCCUAAGUAACGAACCUGAUUCCCCUCCACAUUGCAUCUCCAUCUUGCAAUUUCUUCAGAGCACUCACCGUGUCUUAAAUUAUCUAGUUUGUUUAUCUUAUUUAUUUUGAAGCUCCCCUCUAAAAAUAAGUUUAGUGAGGGCAGAGAACCCCCAGUUCAUGUCCACAUUCCUGGUCUGGCCCAUAAUGGGCACUGAACAAAUAUUUCUUGUAGAGGGUGUGGAUUUUGGCAGCAGAAUGUGCCAUGCACUCAGGCUCUGCUGUGCGUCCUCAAUCCUGGCCUUUAAUAGUGCCUCUGUUUCUCCUGGUCUCAACCCUUGCACUCUCUGAGAGGAGAUUGGCCACUUCAGUUUUCUGUCUUGAAGAUUAUGAUACUACACAGAGGCAGGCUAAGUACUAGGAGACCCAGGAUCUGCUUUCAGUUUUUCUAUAUCUCAUUCUAACUGUUACCAGUGGCAAAUCUGUAUGGGUCUGCAGCAACUCAGUUCUUGCCUCCUCAGAAGAAAGAAUUCAACCAAGGGGCAUAAGGCAGAGUGAGAGACCAAGGCAAGUUUUAGAGCAGGAAAGUUUAUUAAAAAGUUUUAGAGCAGGAACAAAAGAAAGUAAGGUACACUUAGAAGAGAGCCAAGCAGGUGACUUGAGAGAUUCAAGUGUGCUGUUUGAUCUUUAACUUGAAGUUUUAUGUAUUGAGAUGCUUCUGGGGUUGUGUUACUUCUCCCCGUUACUUCUUUUGGGGUAGGCUGUCUGCAUGCUCAGUGGCCUGCCAGCACUUGGGAGGGGCUGCAAGCACAGUGUGUUUGCUGAAGUUGUACACAGGCUUAGUUGAGGCAUUUUUCUCAUACCAGUCAGGCGUUCCUAGAAGAAGGUCAUUUACCUGUUAACACUGCCAUUCAGCUCUUAGUGUGCAUGCUUGAGCCCACUCACCCAACUCCUGAGAUCUUAUUGGGAAGCUGCUGGUCAUCAACUUCAGUUGUUUUUCAUCUAUUGGGAGAUACUGUUCCCUGGCACCAGCUGCAGCCAAUUAUUAUUUUAGCAAGACAGAUAACAACCACCUGACCAUAACCUGAUAGUCACCUGACAUUCCUGGGUUGGGCAGGGACCUCUCCUGCCCUGCUCAUGUCUGCCUAACUACCUACUCUAACAUUUCCCCCCUCAAGAGUUCAAGACCCAAUUUGUUGGGAAAGGUCAGUCUUUUGUAACUGCUUCCUGCUGACAGAGAGGUGGUGGUGGUUGUUCUGUGGGUCUUAUUCUCUUGCUAGCUGUUAGGGCAUGGUUGCUUCGUGGGUUAGUGAAAGCAGUAUCCAGCCAGGUCCGAGAGAGACAGGGGCAGGAUUUUGCCUCUGUCGUGUCCCACAGAUGGGCAGUUGAGGGGUCCUCUGUAGAAGUGUGACUCAAAUAUUGAGAGGAUAUUAUCCCUCACUGAGGAUCAUCUGGUGAUUGAUGGCCCAUCCCUCUUGUUUCUUCUGAGCCUCAGCCAUGGAUCACUGGUUGGUUCACAGGAAUAAGCAGAGUCAGUCUAACUUGCAGAGGAAAAAAACUCAAAAACAACUGAUGAGACUAGAAUCAAAUUACAGGUGUACCACAAUUCUCAAGACAUAAUUUUUCUCUUUGCAGUCCUCAUUCUUAUUAAAAACAAAUUAUCACAGGACUGAUUUGUUUCCAAAAUAAACUUCAGUCAUGUUAUACUUGGCCUGUUAUUUGCAUAAAGCACAGCAAGAAUAAUUAUUUGUUACAUAGGUUCCUUUUUAAAUUGGCUUUGAUGGAACUUUGUUCCAUAAGGAAUCUUGGAUAAAACUUUUAAAAGUCUUGAGCCCAGGCAUGGGAUUGUGCCACCAAAUAACUGUAUGAGUUGGAUGAAUUCCUCCCUCUUGAGGUCCCAAGACAACUUGGGGCCCCUGGGCCUGUCAGAACGUGACAUUCUUUACUUACCACAGGUGAGAAAGCCUGCACAGGGAUUGUGUAGACAAGAUGUGGGUCCACUUUUCCCAAGGGGAUUUUAUUGGCUCUCUAAGUUAACAUUGAUUUCUUAAAGGAGUCUGUUUGUAUCCGAAAGCAUGUCAUUCAUUCAAAGCCUUGGGGAAAAUAACCAGUGUCUCCAAUUUUGUCCUGUUACAAAAGAAAACAGCAUGUUAAAGCUAUGUGUAUCAGUUUAUAUGUUUAGUUGUGAGAAGGCCAAUAUUCAUAUCACCUAGCUUUACAAGAAAUGCAGGCCUGAAGAUGAAAAGCAACACAAUUGCUUACAGUUUCUCAGAUCACAAAGCCUUUUAAUCUUACAAAAUAUAAAUCAAUAGAUGAGAAAGAAAAAAACAGAUUAUUGCACUUAUUCAAAUAACUAUACUGAUGUAAGUUAUGAGCACUCACAAAUAAGUUCCAAAUAUUGGAGAAAUCCAGGAGAGAUAAAUGUGCUCCUAAUUUUGUUUAUAGUACACUUUAUUCAAUUGUUAAAAGCUGAAAAGUUUUCUUGGCUUGGAAAAACAAACAAAGGAUUAGCAACAUUUUAAGCAAAAAGUCAUAAAAGUAUUAUUUUAGUCUUAGUUCAGUCCAUGCAAUUAAUUCCUCUUCUCCUUGAUAUUCAUCAAUAUUUUAGCUCUCUGUGAGAGUCCUGAAAAGUUUUCCUCUAUUAUAAUGUCACAAUCUCCAAAGUUAUCAGAAACCUGCAUUUAAGAGCACCUAUUAGAGUCCUAUAGCUGAUUAUAAAACUACAUUUUAAAGGGCAUUGAAACAAAAUAACAAUUGUGGAUGACUAAAUGUCUUUGGACAGCCACAGUUGAAGACACAAUUGACAAGGAAAUUUGUUACCUCUGUGGCACACAAUAAUUUAACAUGACAAUUAUAAUUAUUACUGUAUAGUAAGUCAAACUAGAAUUAUAGGAGUUUUGCAUAAUUUUGAAACACACUGCAAUAACACAUUUAUGCAAAUACAGUCCAAGUAAAGCCAAAUUUUACCUUUGCCUUAGUGUACUAUUGAUGUCAAAUGCAAUUCUUAAUAAAACCUUAUAGAAAAAUUUAUCUAAUGUUAAUCAGUUUGACCAUAAGGUAAGAUUUUCAUUAACCUUUUAUAACCCUUUACAAUUUUCUGUUAAAAAACAGUGCUUUAAGUGCUUUAAGAAAACUGUGCUUUGCUUUUAUUUUAUUAAACUGAAUAAUACGCCUUUAAUUGUAGCCAAUAUAUGCCUAUACAGAAUUUCUUUUACAAGAUUAAUCUUUCACAAACCUUCCAGAACUUGCUUAAACCUUCAGUUUUAUGCUUUCUAACUUC